ensembl:lncRNA
AUGGAUGAGGAUUUCAAUGUUGAAUAUUUUAAUCAAGUACCGAAUGCUUUACAAAUAGCUGUUGAUCAAUUAAGUGAUGAGGAUUUCAAUGUUGAAUAUUUUAAUCAAGUACCGAAUGCUUUACAAAUAGCUGUUGAUCAAUUAAGUGAUGAGGAUUUCAAUGUUGAAUAUUUUAAUCAAGUACCGAAUGCUUUACAAAUAGCUGUUGAUCAAUUAAGUGAAAUUCCAAUCUCCAUUCCAAUAAAUUUACAAUUUACAGAGCAAAAUGAAAACGUCCUAGAACUUGACACCUUACAACUCAUAAAUGAUGCCCUCGAAAACCUUAAUGCAGUUAAUGCAGUAGAGUUUGAAAAUCAUUCUCCUUCAUCAGCUCUCCACACGCAAAGUGAUCAUGUCUUACACGCGGUAACAAUCAGAUCAGAGACGGAUUCAGCAGAGACACAAUCGGCUCUUCCUAACCCCCCUCCUGAACAGGAUGAGAGGCCAGGAGAAGGGGGGUCAGAGAGCAGCCCCUCAGCCCAUCUUUCUCCUCAGCAAGGGGGAGGAGGGCUAGGAGAAAAUCCAUCCGAUCUCUCUCCUGAGCGGGGUGAGAGGUUUUUUAAUGAUUUUAUCACAUGGAGAACAAGACGCUCCUUUAACAUUCCCACUCGGGGAAAUGUGCCUGACAUUGCAACAUUCUAUCGAGAUGUAACAGGGGUUAUCAGCGAAUUGGUGGAUGUUGCCAGACGACAUAGUAGUCGCAAUGAUUUAAUACAGUUGGAGGUGGUGGGUGAAAACGUACACAAUCAUGUUACAGUUGCUGUGGAUGAACAAGGUGAAAAUAUUCUACCGGCUUUUAAUGGAAUGCUAGAUCGGAUUGUGCAGUCAAACGGUAUCAUUUCAUCGGAUGAGAAUAUAGAAUUCAUCCUUCACGUGGUGCAGAACCCAGGAGGAGGUGCCAAACGUAAGAUGGAGAAAACUCUAGACUGUGAAAUCAUUGACAAAAAAAGACGUCACUUAUUUAUCGUAGACAACAGAGACAACCAGCUUUGCUUCGCCAUCAGUCUAGCUCACGUUAUCUACCCGAAACUUACUGAAAGAGAAUGCCUUGAUAUUGUGAGGAAGUUGCAGCAUCAGGCUGGUUUAAAUGAUGAGACCCCCGUCACUUUCAGUGACAUUGGUAAAUUUGAAAAUAUUCUGGGGCGUAAAAUUGUUGUGUUUUACAGAACAUGCCACAGUAAACCCCUCUCACAUUAUGAGACAAAAUUCUCUGAUCGUUCCAAUCAGUUGUUUCUCUUUUUACUACAAAAUCACUAUUAUGGGAUAAAAAAUCUCAAAGCCUUCCUGGGGUCGUCAGUCUGUAAUUAUUGUUACAAGACUUUUAAGCACCCCUAUACCCACUUUUGUAAAGGUUACUGCGCAGUGUGCAACGAUCCUGCCUGCCCCACAGAAGGGUUCAACACAGUGGUUUGCUCUGACUGUAACAGAACGUGUCGCUCACCCUCUUGUUUCACCAGACACAAAUUGGUCGGUUCAAGCAGAAAGUCCAGCCUCUGCGACCAAAUCAAAAAAUGCGCACGAUGCGAACUAUACUACAGUGUCAAUUUGUCGUUAGACGAUGCAAAGCAUCGCUGUGCGGUGAAAAAAUGUAAAAUCUGUGGUGAAAAACUGCAGAGCGACUCUAAAGUCGAUCAUAGUUGUUACAUUCCUACCCUCCAACCAGACAUCUCACAUCCUGAUUUGGUUUUUUAUGAUUUUGAAACAUUUGUGGGUCAAAAUGGAGAGCAUGUUCCUUUUUUAGUGCAUACAAAAACAUCCAAAGGUGAAGAGAAGGCGUUUUAUGGUCUUGACUGUGCUAAAAUGUUUAUUUUGCAUUUCAGGAAGCCACGAUACAAACAGAACAUCUUUAUAGCCCAUAAUGCCAAGGGGUUUGACAGUUAUCUGGUGUUAAAAGGUAUGUUGGAACUGGAUGUGACGCCACAACAGAUUCUGAUGAACGGGAGUAAAAUCCUCAGUUUUGAGGAAUCCCAUUAUGGUCUCAAAUUCAUAGAUUCCCUGUCAUUUCUCCCCAUGCGUCUCAGCGCUAUGCCCAAAGCCUUAGGAUUCACUGACAAGACCAAGGGGUAUUUCCCACACAAAUUUAGCUCAGAAAUUCACCUCAAUUACGUGGGGCCCUAUCCCGUUCCGUCCGACUACGACGUAGAUCGCAUGACGGUGUGUGAGGGUGAUGUUUGGUCACCCGCGCUGUUCGUUUACUAG